AAAUAUCGGCAGAGAAGUUUUCUCCCUUUAGGCGCACAUCUCAUGCACAGCUCAGAUGCACACGGAAUGAGCUCACUUACCGUGCCCGCAGCUCUCUAGACAGAAGGACUUAAAAGCCCCUGGAACAAGAUAGCUGUGAGAGAAAUACCAUGCUCUUUCUCUGCUUGACAAGAAGGACGCCUGCCCUGAGCACGAGUCCACUCCAAGGGAAGGUGAGCGGGGCCUGGCAUCUGACUGUGCAGCUGUCCCAGAAGAAGACCCCAAGUCAGCUACCUAGAUACUUUCUAGAAGAAAGGGAUGUACCAAAAUACUGGCAGAACACACAGGCCAUGCAGAGACGAAUGAAACAGAUUUUCAAAUGUGGCACCGGACCGCCGGCUUGAGACCGAACGUACUUGCUGAGUGUCGGGUGCAGGCAGGAUAAACCCACGUAUUAACAGGAAGCACCCUGAAUAGAUCACAAAGUAAAGCUCGACGCAGGCAACACAGGAAGGGUGCACUUCAGGACCAGAAGCUUUACAAAGAUGGAGGGGAGAGUUUAGCAAAUAUUUGGUAAAACUGCCUGGGAAAAACAAACAAA